rnacentral:rRNA from 1 species
GAUGAACGCUAGCGGGAGGCUUAACACAUGCAAGUCGAGGGGUAAAUGGUAGCAAUACUAUGAGACCGGCGAACGGGUGCGUAACGCGUAUGCAACUUACCUUAUGCAGGGGGAUAGCCCGUGGAAACGCGGAUUAAUAUCCCAUAGAUCAGUAAUAUCGCAUGGUAUAACUGGUAAAACUCAGGUGGCAUAAGAUGGGCAUGCGUCUGAUUAGCUAGUUGGUAGGGUAACGGCCUACCAAGGCGACGAUCAGUAGGGGUUCUGAGAGGAUUAACCCCCAACUGGUACUGAGACACGGACCAGACUCCUACGGGAGGCAGCAGUGAGGAAUAUUGGUCAAUGGGCCAAGCCUGAACCAGCCAUCCCGCGUGAAGGAAGAAGGCCCUAUGGGUUGUAAACUUCUUUUCCAGGGGGUAAUAAUUCCGAUGUAUCGGGAGAUGACGGUACCCUGGGAAUAAGCAUCGGCUAACUCCGUGCCAGCAGCCGCGGUAAUACGUAG